GGAUUUGGUGCAGUGGUUAGUACUUACAACUGCCUGCCACGCAGAAGGUUCCGGGUUCAAUUCCCGGUGGGGUUCC